CCGGACUGACUGCUAUCGGAUUGGUACUAAGCCAUGCGAGUCAUUGUAGCAAUACAAGGCGGACGGCUCAGUAACACGUAGUCAACCUAACCUAUGGACGUGGAUAACCUCGGGAAACUGAGAAUAAACCACGAUAGAUCAUUAUGCCUGGAAUGGCUUAUGGUUCAAACAAUUUAUUGCCGUAGGAUGGGACUGCGGCCUAUCAGCUUGUUGGUGAGGUAAUGGCCCACCAAGGCUAUAACAGGUACGGGCUCUGAGAGGAGAAGCCCGGAGAUGGGUACUGAGACACGGACCCAGGCCCUAUGGGGCGCAGCAGGCGAGAAACCUUAGCAAUGUGCGAAAGCACGACUAGGUUAAUCCGAGUGAUUUCUGUUGAAGAAAUCUUUUGUCAGUCGUAAAACCACAGACGAAUAAGGGGUGGGCAAGUCUGGUGUCAGCCGCCGCGGUAAUACCAGCACCUCGAGUGGUCAGGAGGUUUAUUGGGCCUAAAGCAUCCGUAGCCGGCUUUGCAAGUCUCCGGUUAAAUCCAGCUGCUCAACAGAUGGGCUGCCGGAGAUACUACAAAGCUAGGGAGCGGGAGAGGUAGACGGUAUUCUGUGGGUAGGGGUAAAAUCCACUGAUCCAUAGAGGACCACCAGUGGCGAAGGCGGUCUACCAGAACGCGUUCGACGGUGAGGGAUGAAAGCUGGGGGAGCAAACCGGAUUAGAUACCCGGGUAGUCCCAGCUGUAAACGAUGCAAACUCGGUGAUGCAUUGGCUUAUGGCCAAUGCAGUGCCGCAGGGAAGCCGUUAAGUUUGCCGCCUGGGAAGUACGGACGCAAGUCUGAAACUUAAAGGAAUUGGCGGGGGAGCACCACAAGGGGUGAAGCCUGCGGUUCAAUUGGAUUCAACGCCGG
rnacentral:rRNA from 1 species